ACUUGCUCUCGGGUGACGAGCGGCGGACGGGUGAGUAAUGUCUGGGAAACUGCCUGAUGGAGGGGGAUAACUACUGGAAACGGUAGCUAAUACCGCAUAACGUCGCAAGACCAAAGUGGGGGACCUUCGGGCCUCAUGCCAUCAGAUGUGCCCAGAUGGGAUUAGCUAGUAGGUGGGGUAACGGCUCACCUAGGCGACGAUCCCUAGCUGGUCUGAGAGGAUGACCAGCCACACUGGAACUGAGACACGGUCCAGACUCCUACGGGAGGCAGCAGUGGGGAAUAUUGCACAAUGGGCGCAAGCCUGAUGCAGCCAUGCCGCGUGUGUGAAGAAGGCCUUCGGGUUGUAAAGCACUUUCAGCGGGGAGGAAGGCGUUGAGGUUAAUAACCUUGGCGAUUGACGUUACCCGCAGAAGAAGCACCGGCUAACUCCGUGCCAGCAGCCGCGGUAAUACGGAGGGUGCAAGCGUUAAUCGGAAUUACUGGGCGUAAAGCGCACGCAGGCGGUCUGUCAAGUCGGAUGUGAAAUCCCCGGGCUCAACCUGGGAACUGCAUUCGAAACUGGCAGGCUAGAGUCUUGUAGAGGGGGGUAGAAUUCCAGGUGUAGCGGUGAAAUGCGUAGAGAUCUGGAGGAAUACCGGUGGCGAAGGCGGCCCCCUGGACAAAGACUGACGCUCAGGUGCGAAAGCGUGGGGAGCAAACAGGAUUAGAUACCCUGGUAGUCCACGCCGUAAACGAUGUCGAUUUGGAGGCUGUGCCCUUGAGGCGUGGCUUCCGG
rnacentral:rRNA from 1 species